GAAGCUUAGCUGAGGGAAGGCCUUGAAGAGCCUGAAGCUGAGGUGAUUUAUCUGCAGGAAGCUCUUGGACAAGCGAAUGCCUAGAGCAUGAAACUGAAGGAGAGUUUGUUGGACAAUGAAACUGAGUUGCAGAGUGUCUAAGUAGCUUGAUGAAGAAGCUUUGACCAAAAAGUAAACUGAGGUGAAUGGUGAGCUUUCAGAUAGUGAGAAAAACUAUGAUCUCCUUCUAAAGGUUGUUGAGUUCUCUGAAGAGAAUAGACAUGCUAGUGAAGACAAGUCUAAAAUGGACCUUCCACCGCAUCUAAUAAAGAAGAGAAAAAAAAGAUCCUAAAGAAAAAAAUAAUGGCUUCAACGAUACGAACGUUGGAAAGGUUGCUGCCAAAGUUGAGAAUGCCAAUGGAAAACCAAAAGAAGAUGAGAGCAAAGAGAAAGAAGAUGAUUCAGUCAAAGUUGAGUUCUGGCAGAGCUGCAAAAUUGAAAAGGAGUUUUCUCUCGACGGAGAACUGGAGAAGGAAUCAUUUGAAGAGGAAGUGAAUUCAAAGGUGGAUGGCAGUGAAAUCGAUCAGAUAAAAGAGCUGUCGUCCACAAAACAUGUUGAGGAUGGCGCAACCUCACCAACAAAGCAGCUACAACAAAAGAAGAAGAGACCUUUUAUGAGGAAGAUUGAAAGCUUACUCAAGAAGAAGCCGACUAGCAACCAGAAGUAGAGGAACUAGGAGGCAGGAAGUGGACAAGUGUUUGGAGUUUGAAAGAGACAGAGAUUUAAGUUUGCAAGAGAGGCGUUUCAGAUGGAAGGCAAGUGGUUUAGCUGCUAGACAUUCAGUCAGGUAAAACAUCAAACACCUACAAUGCGCCACAACAAACCACUCACAAACAACACUUCUGGAUAUCCAAACUUCAACCACAAUCAAACUCCAAUAGCCACAAACAAACCAACCAAACUUCUUCUCAAAAUAAAACAAUUCAAAUCCAAAUAAAAUCACAGAACCCAAUUGCUCUAAACACAACCAGGCUUUAUCGUGGCACCACAGGGGCGAAGAAGCUGAUGACAACGAUGAAGGAUGGAAGGAUGGUGGUCGGCGACAGAGGUGAUGGCUAGAAGAGCUGCGACAAAUGCGAAAGGUGAAGCUGCCAGAGGCACAACAGAGCAGAUGGGCUAGGAGAUGGCAGAGCCAAAGAGAAAGAAGAAUCUUCCGUUCGCCGGUCAGAGAAAGAGGUCAUCGAGGAGACUACUGCCAUGCAAAGACGGACGUGAUUGCCGGAGGAGAGGUAGAAAAAAAUAACGAGGCAGACGGGGAGGCGAGUAGAUCAACACGUUGAACUGCGCUUUGGCUAUAUUUAUUUUAUUUCUAUUCUGAUCAUUUUCACAAUAAUUUAUUUUAUGGAAUCCAUGCAUUCUGGAACUAUCAAUUCAUUUAUAUUCACUGAAUUUUACUUUGAGACAUUUUGACACAA